ACUGUUGAAUUAUUAUUUUGGAUGUGGUAGCAUCGGGGUGUUACGUUGUAACUAUAGUGAUAAACGGUUUACGCAAUAGGUUUUAUGGACCAGGGGGCGGUACCCUGCGCCUCCACCAUAUUUUUAUGGGGGCGAAACAGGUUCGACAUGUUACAGUAAAGGUAGAUCUUUCGCUCGGCAUUGUACCACCGUUAUCGGGCUAAUUUUAUAAAUGCCGAUUUUAGAAGAAUAGGCAAUAGACUCGUAGCAAACCGCAGCAGGAGAAGGCUUCUAAAGGCCGCGAACCUGUCAAGGCGUGCUGUUGGUAUGAGGGUUGCUUAAUCUUCCCGUAAUGGGAAUUUGAGAUCCUUCAUACUUACUGUCUUUUACUGGGCAGUAGAGUUGGCGGUUCUUGGGGGAAACCGAGCAACAGAAUUCCCCCUCU
rnacentral:tmRNA from 1 species